rnacentral:rRNA from 1 species
ACAGUUCGGUCCCUAUCUGCCGUGGGCGUUGGAUGAUUGAGGGGAGCUGCUCCUAGUACGAGAGGACCGGAGUGGACGAACCGCUGGUGUUCGGGUUGUGUCGCCAGACGCAUUGCCCGGUAGCUAAGUUCGGCACAGAUAAGCGCUGAAAGCAUCUAAGCGCGAAGCUGGCCCCGAGAUGAGUCAUCCCUAGAGCUUYGAGCUCUCUAAAGGGUUGUUCUAGACUAGAACGUUGAUAGGCAGGGUGUGUAAGCGCUGUGAGGCGUUGAGCUAACCUGUACUAAUUGCCCGUGAGGCUUAACCAUACAACACCCAAG